AGUGUGUGAAAACCUUGUGAAGACUUAGAGAAAACGUUUGACCUCUGUCAUUGUCAACAAAGGGUAUAUAACAAAGUAUUGAGAUGAACUUUUGUUAUUGACCGAAUACUUAUUUUCCACCAUAAUUUGCGGAUGGAUUCAU